GUGCCAGCAGCCGCGGUAAUACGUAGGUGGCAAGCGUUGUCCGGAUUUAUUGGGUUUAAAGGGUGCGUAGGCGGUCUUUUAAGUCAGUGCUGAAAUAUCCCGGCUUAACCGGGAGGGUGGCAUUGAUACUGAAGGACUUGAGUUCAGUCGAGGUAGGCGGAAUUGACGGUGUAGCGGUGAAAUGCUUAGAUAUCGUCAAGAACACCGAUAGUGUAGACAGCUUACUAGGCUGAAACUGACGCUGAGGCACGAAAGUGUGGGGAUCAAACAGGAUUAGAUACCCUGGUAGUCC
rnacentral:rRNA from 1 species